CAUUUGUACUAACAAACAAUAAAGGCUAUCGAAAUCUUCUCAUGGACGGCUACAAAUUCACAUUAAAAUACGGCACUUUUGGUAAGAAAAUGCGCUGGAGUUGUUCGAAACAGAGCUAUAGAGGUUGCAAAGUUGCCAUAAUUACGCACAACGAUAAAAUAAUUUCUAUCGUAAACGAACACAAUCACCCACCCGACCUGAAGUUUACAUAAAUUUUAAGGUCACAAGACGCAUAAAAAGGCGCAACAUCUCACAUUAGAUGGAUAUAGAUAUGGUUUACAAAUGAUAAGUAACUUAGGAAAAGGCAGAUGGAGAUGUGUAAAGCAGAGGAAGGGAUGUAAAGCUGUAGUGGUCACGAUAGAUGACACUGUCAUUGCUGUUAAAAGUAAUCAUAACCAUCCUCCAUAGAUUGAGGGUUACCUUUAGGAAAAGACUUUGUACAGUAAUUAUAUCAUGGGUAUAUAUCUCUGUAUAUACAUUUAUAUUUCUGUAUAUAAAAUUAGCAUAUAAAUUGACCAUUUAAAUACUAUUAAAGUGAUAAUAUUACUGGGAUAAUAUUAGCGUAUUGAAUUUAAUUUUUAAUAAGAGCUUCCAGUUUUUAAUUUAACAUUUUUUUUAAACUAUUUUUAAUUAAAAAAUUUUCAUCUUUUAAAUGUUAAUGUAUUUUUCAUUAUACUUAAUAUAUUAAGUUGUUUAGAAUAAAAAUUAUUGCUUACAGCGUGUUAACUGUACAUAAAUUUGCUUAACCAAAUUUCGAGCUUACGUUACUAGAUUAUUUAUAAGGAAUUCUAUUUAAAAUUGUAAUUUUACAAAUUAACGAAAGAAUUUAAUGUAUGUUGAAUUGGUAUUUUUAUUACAUAUUGUUAUUUCUUAAGGUUAAUUUAAGGUUGUCUUGAAAAGAUUGCUCUCAGCAAUAAGACCGCUUUACUAUACUUAUACAAUUGUAUCGUUAUAUUUGUUAAUUGUCUUGCUUAUUCCCGAUAUUGUAUAAUGCAAAUAAAGUAUACUCAUUCA